AAGUGUAGUAUAAUGGUAAUACUUUAGUCUUCCAAACUAGAAUUAGGAGUUCGAAUCUCCUCAUUUG
rnacentral:tRNA from 1 species